rnacentral:rRNA from 1 species
CUUUUACAAUGAAGAGUUUGAUCCUGGCUCAGGAUGAACGCUAGCUACAGGCUUAACACAUGCAAGUCGAGGGGCAUCAGUUUGGUUUGCU